CAGUCGCCACGGGAAUACGGAGGGUGCAAGCGUUAAUCGGAAUUACUGGGCGUAAAGCGCACGCAGGCGGUCUGACAAGUCAGAUGUGAAAUCCCCGGGCUUAACCUGGGAACUGCAUUUGAAACUGUCAGGCUGGAGUCUUGUAGAGGGGGGUAGAAUUCCAGGUGUAGCGGUGAAAUGCGUAGAGAUCUGGAGGAAUACCGAUGGCGAAGGCAGCCAUCUGGCCUAAUACUGACGCUGAGGUACGAAAGCAUGGGGAGCAAACAGGAUUAGAUACCCCUGUAGUCCCUGUCUCUUAUAC
rnacentral:rRNA from 1 species